rnacentral:lncRNA from 1 species
AUGCAUAGGGGCUCCAUUCUAGACAAGAUAUAUAUGAUACCUUUUAUUUUUUCUUUAGGUCUUGUCUACUUCUCUACUUCUCUAUCUUGCUGGGUUCCUCAGGAGGCUGCACAGUAUGAACAAUCCCUGUGGAUAACUUUGCUCUUCGGAAGAGUAGAAGGCAGAUUAAAUGAGGUAAUGUUAAUAAAGCAUGAAGCUUGCAGCCUGGCACAUACGAUUCAUGAGUCUACCUAGUACAUAGUGUUAUUGAAAUGCCUAAGUCACGCUUACAGAGGAAUCAUUUCAUUAUGUCCAAGAGUUAGCCAUGGGGUCUACAGCAGUACUUUUUAGCAGAAUCUUCUGCAAUGAAAAACUUUUCUAUAUUUGUGCUGUUCUACAGAUGGGUGUUUAAUACUUGAAAGUUUAAUACUUGAAAGUGUGUGACUGAGGAACUAAGUUUUAUUUUACAGUAAGUCUCUGACUUAGGAACAUUCAAGUUGCAAACUUCCACAAAUAUGAACAGACCUGACAUUACAAACAUUCAUAGAUAUGAGCAAAUUGUAGAAAUACUGUAUUGUAGCUCACAAGUCUACCUUACCAUUUCAAGGCAACUGUAAAAGUAAAAAUAGUUUAUUUACAGUAUUUUUGUGUUUAUUUGGUUUUCCUAAUGCUUUACAUUGUAUAUUUGUGUGAAAAGUGUAUAAAACUCAUUUGUUUUUACUUACAAAAAAUCAAAUUUAUGAACAUUCUCCCAGAAAGUAACUCAUUCAUAAGGACUUACUGUAUUUGAUUUGAUUUCAAUUAAAGUAGCCAUAUAUGAUUUGUACCUGCCAACCUAAGCAAUGCAGUUUUUUGUUUUUUUUUUUUUUUUUAAGGAAAGAAAGGUUUAUCUAGCUCACAGUUUGUGGAGGUUUCAGUCCGUAAUCAGCUGGCUUCAAGGCAGGGUGGCAGGGCACAGGGGCAGCACUUCAAGACAGCAGAAGACAGCAAAAGCAGCAAGAGCAUAGCAGGGAGAGCAAGCCUCCUUUCCUCCCUUAUAUUGUAACCAGGCUGUUCACCCUGGGAGGGGUCCUUUACACCCAUACCAUGCC